CUCCACUUUUUAAAUUAGAAUUCGCGGAUUUUUUAAAUCUAGUGAAAUUGAAAUGGUGGUAUAUUAGACGUUCCUCUGCCACACGUGUUCUGGCUUCGUGCUGAGUGUGUUCCAUAGAUCUACGAACAAUU
rfam:Caenorhabditis japonica strain DF5081 Contig17572.1, whole genome shotgun sequence.